GGCUGACUCUGAACCAGGACACUGAAUCAGUUGGCACCUUGAUUUUGGACCUCCCAGCCUCCAGCGCAUUUCUGCUCAGGAAAAAAAAGAAGAGAAAAGAGAAGGGAAGAAAAGAAAAAAAGGAAAGGAAAGGAAAGAAUGUGUAUGAAAAAGACAGUACUCUGAACUAACCCAAAGUUUCACAUGUGCAAAAUACAGAAGAUUUGUCUCAAUCUUGGAGCCCAAAAAUGAUGCAAUAUUAAGAAAUCCACCAACUUGCAGAUGCUUCCAUGACACCAUCCUGACUUCCCUGGACAGAUGAUUUCACUAAUGUACCCAGGAGCCCCGCCUUCCCAGAGCCCUAUCCAACUAGGGAAAGACAGAAACAGCCUGGGGGGGUCCCCCCUCCCUCUCUCUUUUUGGUGGAGAGAUGCCAGUUUGGACAACUCCCAAGGACCAGACUUUUGUGGCCAGACUUUGUAGGAACAAAAUACAAGUCCCC